CUUGGUCAUUUAGAGGAAGUAAAAGUCGUAACAAGGUUUCCGUAGGUGAACCUGCGGAAGGAUCAUUACUGAGCUCGAGCCCUCCAGGGUCGAUCUCCUACCCUAUGUUAAUCUGACUAUGUUGCUUUGGUGUACCGCUAUUCUAGCUACCAGCUCCUAUUGGUAUGUGUAUGCCAGAGGCCCUAUUUACUCUAUAUUUAAUAAUGCUGUCUGAGAAAAUACUUUAGAAUACUAAAAACUUUCAACAACGGAUCUCUUGGCUCUAGCAUCGAUGAAGAACGCAGCGAAAUGCGAUAAGUAAUGUGAAUUGCAGAAUUUAGUGAAUCAUCGAAUCUUUGAACGCACAUUGCGCCUCUUGGUAUCCCGAGAGGCAUGCCUAUUCGAGCGUUACAAUACUAAUUAAGCUCUGCUUAGUAUUGGACUUGCGCUAUCUGCGAGUCUUAAAUCUAGUGGCUAACAUUCUGUAAUCUAUAGCAUAGUACAUUUCUUGCUACUAGACUUCAGUAUGCUCUACCAACAAGACCUCUUAUAAAUAACCUCGAAUUAGGUAGGAAUACCCGCUGAACUUAAGCAUAUCAAUAAGCGGAGGAAAAGAAACCAACAGGGAUUGCCUUAGUAACGGCGAGUGAAGCGGCAAUAGCUCAAAUUUGAAAUCUGGCUCUUUCUGAGUCCGAGUUGUAAUUUGCAGAAGAAGCUUUAGGUAUGGUGCCGGCCUAAGUCCCUUGGAAUAGGGCGUCUGAGAAGGUGAGAAUCCCGUCCUUAGCCGAGUGCCUAUGCCUAGGUAAAGCUCUUUCGACGAGUCGAGUUGUUUGGGAAUGCAGCUCUAAGUGGGUGGUAUAUUUCAUCUAAGGCUAAAUAUUAGCUAGAGACCGAUAGCGCACAAGUAGAGUGAUCGAAAGAUGAAAGGCACUUUGGAAAGAGAGUUAAAUAGCACGUGAAAUUGUUGAAAGGGAAGCGCUUGCAACGAGACUUGAGUGUAGCUAAUCUCUAGGAGUUUGCUCUUAGUUACUUAGUUAUACGCAGGCUAGCAUCGGUUCUAGUGGCUAGAAAAAGGUUGCAGGAAUGUAGCUCUCUUUAUAGAGAGUAUUAUAGCUUGUAGCACCAUAUAGCCUACUGGAAUCGAGGACCGCGCUCUUGUGAGGAUGCUAGCAUAAUCGUUGCAAGCGGCCCGUCUUGAAACACGGACC
rnacentral:rRNA from 1 species